rnacentral:rRNA from 1 species
AGCGAACGCUGGCGGCAGGCUUAACACAUGCAAGUCGAACGCCCGCAGCAAUACGGGAGUGGCAGACGGGUGAGUAACGCGUGGGAACAUGCCCUUUGGUUCGGAAUAACUCAGGGAAACUUGAGCUAAUACCGGAUAAGCCCGAGAGGGGAAAGAUUUAUCGCCGAAGGAUUGGCCCGCGUCCGAUUAGCUAGUUGGUGAGGUAAUGGCUCACCAAGGCGACGAUCGGUAGCUGGUCUGAGAGGAUGAUCAGCCACACUGGGACUGAGACACGGCCCAGACUCCUACGGGAGGCAGCAGUGGGUAAUAUUGGACAAUGGGGGCAACCCUGAUCCAGCCAUGCCGCGUGAGUGAUGAAGGCCCUAGGGUUGUAAAGCUCUUUCGGCGGGGACGAUAAUGACGGUACCCGCAGAAGAAGCCCCGGCUAACUUCGUGCCAGCCGCCGCAGUAA